rnacentral:rRNA from 1 species
ACUCCUGCGGGAGGCAGCAGUGGGGAAUUUUGGACAAUGGGCGAAAGCCUGAUCCAGCAAUGCCGCGUGAGUGAAGAAGGCCUUCGGGUUGUAAAGCUCUUUUGUCAGGGAAGAAACGGUGAGAGCUAAUAUCUUUUGCUAAUGACGGUACCUGAAGAAUAAGCACCGGCUAACUACGUGCCAGCAGCCGCGGUAAUACGUAGGGUGCAAGCGUUAAUCGGAAUUACUGGGCGUAAAGCGUGCGCAGGCGGUUUUGUAAGUCUGAUGUGAAAUCCCCGGGCUCAACCUGGGAAUUGCAUUGGAGACUGCAAGGCUAGAAUCUGGCAGAGGGGGGUAGAAUUCCACGUGUAGCAGUGAAAUGCGUAGAUAUGUGGAGGAACACCGAUGGCGAAGGCAGCCCCCUGGGUCAAGAUUGACGCUCAUGCACGAAAGCGUGGGGAGCAAACAGGAUUAGAAACCCGGGUAGUCCCA